CUGUGACUGGCUGUGUGGGACAGUGUGUCUGUGUGUGACUGUCUGCAUGUGACUAUGUGUGUGUGACAGUGUGCCUGUGAUUGGGGGAUGCUGCCUUUAACUGUGUGUGUGGCUAUCUGCAUGUGACUGUCUGCGUGUGUGUGUGACUUUCUGCCUGUAACUAUGUGUGUGACUGUGUGCGAGUGACUAUGUGCCUGGGACUGGUCUCUGAAAACUGUUGCUAAU